CGGCGGGCUACUACGCUGGCUCCGGCAUAAAGCACUAAAGAUAACACUUCACUACAAAGCCUGCUAAGACAGAAGAAAGCAAAAGGGAACGAGCCCAUAUGAUUUGAGGACAAACCCUUUCAACCACGGAGCUGCCAAGAUAGCAGCUGUCCUGUUUCCUCUUCGAUGAAUGAAAUGCAAAGAAAAAUGCAGAGCGGAGUCCAUUAAAGUAUGCAUUUAAAAGAAAUUCAAGAGGCAGAUUGACCAAAUGCAACAUAUAGGACUUGUUAGCAUCCAUAUUAAAAGAGACUGGAAAAAAAUAAAAAUAAUGAAGCGGAGACUGAACACAUUGCAUCUCAGGUGACAUCAAGAAACUUGCCCCUCUCCCACGC